AACGAACGCUGGCGGCAGGCUUAACACAUGCAAGUCGAACGCCCCGCAAGGGGGGUGGCAGACGGGUGAGUAACGCGUGGGAACAUACCCUUUUCUACGGAAUAGCUCUGGGAAACUGGAAUUAAUACCGUAUACGCCCUACGGGGGAAAGAUUUAUCGGGGAAGGAUUGGCCCGCGUUGGAUUAGCUAGUUGGUGGGGUAAAGGCCUACCAAGGCGACGAUCCAUAGCUGGUCUGAGGGGAUGAUCAGCCACAUUGGGACUGAGACACGGCCCAAACUCCUACGGGAGGCAGCAGUGGGGAAUAUUGGACAAUGGGCGCAAGCCUGAUCCAGCCAUGCCGCGUGAGUGAUGAAGGCCUUAGGGUUGUAAAGCUCUUUCACCGAUGAAGAUAAUGACGGUAGUCGGAGAAGAAGCCCCGGCUAACUUCGUG
rnacentral:rRNA from 1 species